GUAGACCCCGCUCACUGCUGAUGGAGCAGCGAGUGAGGACAUACUGCUCCUGGAUAUAAGAACUUUCCUGGAUUCUCCUCAUCACAUCAUUAGACCAAUCCAGUUCUGCACCUACAGCAGAUGGACACAAUGUGUUGCAUUAAUUCAGAGGUUGGAGGAGGUGAUAAUUCAUCAUUUGAUUGUCCAAAAACGGACCCAGUUGAGCCACGAUGAACACCUUUAAAGCCCUGUUCUGGAAUCUGUUAAACACGGUAACAAUUACAAGUCCAUUUACCAGGCUAACAAACAGAUGCACCUUAUUAGAAAUGACAGCAUACCUCUAUCUUUUUUGUUUUGAAACUGGUCAUAUCAUACAGAGUGCAGUAGCCAAUGAGACAGUUGCCAGCAUAAAGCGGAGGAAUUUCAUUGGGUGACAGAAGAGCCUCCAUGUUUUCAGGCAGAUACCAGUCAAUCCUUACAUCAGUCAGCACAGGUUCAAACGCCUUCUUCAGCAACUUGAUCAACUUAGGUGGGAGUAUUGCAGAGCUGCUCACCUUGGGUUGGAGCCUCUCCUCAUCGUCCAAGAAUUCUGUGGUCCCUCCUGUUAAUCUGGCCACGCCCUGCAGGAGGCGCUUGCAAGCUCGAGGACCAAGGCCAAGACCAAAACAUCUGCAAAGGAGAGAAAUAUACAAAUACACAGUGCAUGUGUUUCUCCGGACCAGCUCCAGCACUUUGGCAACACUACCGAUAGAGCCAUCUGUAAUAACAAAGACCUGUCGAGGAUACGAGCGCUGCAUAGGCUGCUGGUAGACCCAGGACAGUGCCCCCAGGAGGUAAGAUCAGUAUUUGAAGCCCACGUCGGUGCAGAGUCUGCUGGUGGUGAACAGAGGCUUGAUGGUGGUUCCAAAGCCCACAAUGUUGAGCAUGGUUCCAGAAGGAAGACUCUUCAGUGCUACCACCAUGGCUUCCUGUGGAUACCAAAUGGAUGGAGACAGAAUGGAGUCAAAACAGUCUGAUUGCUAAUCUGUGGCUCCUACGUCUGAUGUUGGAAACAGAUCACCUUAACACGCUGAAUGUUGUUGCCACUCAUGCUGCCGCUCCGAUCUACGAGGAACAGCAGUUCUCUGGUAGCUUUGUGCAGCUCCUGUGGUUCACACAGCAGGUCAGGGCAGAAGUUGAGCAUCAACACUGGACUGUUCAAAAUGUCCUUGUGGUACCGCUUCCUCACAAACUCAAGCUGAAGGCUCUGAAUCUUUACGGGUGCAGCGAAUGAAAUCACGACGGGAGGAAAUCUGCUGUUCAUACUGGCUGAAGGAGAGUCUGCCUCUCUCUAAGAUGACCAGUGGACUGUGGGGUUCUGCAGCAGUGUUGGAGUGUAGGAGAAUCAUGAACAGAAUUCUACACAGAGCAGACAUUUGUUGAACAGCUCGUUGUUCCCUACCACUUAGGUGCAAAAUGAUCUCUAUAUGUCGGUCGUACGGAUGCUCCUGUGCCAGAGUGAUGUAUGUGGCAGAAGCACUCUGGGCACUUGGGUCUGCAUCUGCUCUUAGAGCGUGGGUGGGACUCUCCAGGCCUGCAAAAGAAGUAAAUAAUAAUAAAGCUUUUUACCAUA